UAUAUUUAAAUUAAACACUACAAAAGAAUCCGAAAAAACCGCGACGUAGCGCGGAUAAUUACCUAGUAGUGUUAAAACAAAAUUGGAGGAAAUUUUGGAGAUCACAUUUUUAACAUAAAAUUAGUAGAAAUAUAUAUUUUAAUUAUUAAAUAAAAAAUUA
rnacentral:sRNA from 1 species